GAUCAUGGCUCAGGACGAACGCUGGCGGCGUGCCUAAUACAUGCAAGUCGAGCGGACAGAAGGGAGCUUGCUCCCGGAAGUCAGCGGCGGACGGGUGAGUAACACGUGGGUAACCUGCCUGUAAGACUGGGAUAACUCCGGGAAACCGGGGCUAAUACCGGAUAACAUCAAGAACCGCAUGGUUCUUGAUUGAAAGGCGGCUUCGGCUGUCACUUACAGAUGGACCCGCGGCGCAUUAGCUAGUUGGUGAGGUAACGGCUCACCAAGGCGACGAUGCGUAGCCGACCUGAGAGGGUGAUCGGCCACACUGGGACUGAGACACGGCCCAGACUCCUACGGGAGGCAGCAGUAGGGAAUCUUCCGCAAUGGACGAAAGUCUGACGGAGCAACGCCGCGUGAGUGAAGAAGGUUUUCGGAUCGUAAAACUCUGUUGUCAGGGAAGAACAAGUACCGGAGUAACUGCCGGUACCUUGACGGUACCUGACCAGAAAGCCACGGCUAACUACGUGCCAGCAGCCGCGGUAAUACGUAGGUGGCAAGCGUUGUCCGGAAUUAUUGGGCGUAAAGCGCGCGCAGGCGGCCUUUUAAGUCUGAUGUGAAAGCCCACGGCUCAACCGUGGAGGGUCAUUGGAAACUGGAAGGCUUGAGUGCAGAAGAGAAGAGCGGAAUUCCACGUGUAGCGGUGAAAUGCGUAGAGAUGUGGAGGAACACCAGUGGCGAAGGCGGCUCUUUGGUCAGUAACUGACGCUGAGGCGCGAAAGCGUGGGGAGCGAACAGGAUUAGAUACCCUGGUAGUCCACGCCGUAAACGAUGAGUGCUAAGUGUUGGGGGGUUUCCGCCCCUCAGUGCUGCAGCUAACGCAUUAAGCACUCCGCCUGGGGAGUACGCCGCAAGCUGAACUCAAGGAAUUGACGGGCCCGCACAGCGGUGGAGCAUGUGGUUUA
rnacentral:rRNA from 1 species